rfam:Tupaia chinensis contig45989, whole genome shotgun sequence.
CCAUGGCUUGGGAUUUAUGGCAGGUUCAUCCCCUGGGCCUCUCACAGUGUCCCAUGCUAGAGCAAACCAGCUCCAAACCAUUGCCCAGUCUCUAUCUGUGGGCUGCUGGCACCGGGAAGAGGGGGAUAAAAUA